UUUGAGAGGAAAAAAUUGAAAGAAAUACUUGGAGGUAACCCUAGGACAAGAUGAUAAAAUCCAGGAAGAAGCCGUCGCCUGCAUAUCGCCGCCACAUCUACAUCCUCCUCCCAUGGCUGGAAGCGCGGUGGCUGGGCUGAUCUCCCGCUAGAUCUCUUCUCCCUCAUUUGGUCGGCUGCCGUUGGCGAUCUGUCUUCACGCGCCAGAUGCUUUAUGUUCCGACUGGGUGGUGGUGGAUAAGGACUUGGGAGACUUGAUCGUCUUCUUAGGCGGCCGCAACCCACUUUGUUUUUCUGCUUGUGAUUUUCCAGAUUUGACGCCUAAUUCUAUAUAUUUUGCAGAUGACGAUGGAUUUCGGGAUCCAGAAUUUUCCUACUACUAUCAUCGAAUGUAUAAACAAUUAAAUAAUCCAAGGCUUUCUACCUUCAUUCAGCGGGCCUAUCUUCUGCCAGUGUUUUCGGAACGAAAUUGGUUCAGAAAAAUUCUGAAUUAUCCGAUUGACGUGGACAAGACUUUCAUCCGGUUAUAUUGGCAGCCUCCCUCAAGCUCCAUUAAUAACGCACAACAAAGGCUAUAAAGAGAGUGAAGAAGAAAAGAGUAUACUUGAAAUGUUGCAGAACAUUCCAGCAGAUGUGGGGGUGUAUGACAUGGAGAUGAUGAGUUUCGACAGAAUAUCAGACUCUGAUGAGUGUACAGAAUUCACCUGGCCGCCACCGAUUUAGUUUUUUUUCCUCUUAGUAUAUAAAGCCUUGUAUUGUAGGAAAUAAUUUUUUUUGUUUACAUCUAAAGAACUUAGAAACUAAAUUCCCCUAGCCAUCAACGAUUUGAUUUUUUUCCCUCUUAGUAAAUAAAGCUUUGUAUUGUAGGAAGGAAUUUUUUUUGUUUACAUUUGAAAAAUUUAGAAACUAAAUUCAUUUUGCCGCCACA